GCCAUGCUUGGAAUAGCAUUGCAUAUACUAACAUUGGAACGAUACAGAGAAGAUCAACAGCCUAAGGAUGGCACCCAAAUCUGGGAAGUUUUCCAGUUUUUC
rfam:Sarcophilus harrisii ctg7180001572296, whole genome shotgun sequence.